GUCUUCUGAGGUGGUGGCGCCAGCGGCUACCUCCUGCCUGUGAGGAGCUGGCUGAGAGGGGACUGGGCGCCGGCGGGGAAGGAGGAGCGCUAGGUCGGUGUACGACCGAGAUUAGGGUGCGUGCCAGCUCCGGGAGGCCGCGGUGAGGGGCCGGGCCCAAGCUGCCGACCCGAGCCGAUCGUCAGGGUCGCCAGCGCCUCAGCUCUGUGGAGGAGCAGCAGUAGUCGGAGGGUGCAGGAUAUUAGAAAUGGCUACUCCCCAGUCAAUUUUCAUCUUUGCAAUCUGCAUUUUAAUGAUAACAGAAUUAAUUCUGGCCUCAAAAAGCUACUAUGAUAUCUUAGGUGUGCCAAAAUCGGCAUCAGAGCGCCAAAUCAAGAAGGCCUUUCACAAGUUGGCCAUGAAGUACCACCCUGACAAAAAUAAGAGCCCGGAUGCUGAAGCAAAAUUCAGAGAGAUUGCAGAAGGUAAAUAAAUGACAAUCUCUGAAGUGUCAUGGGUAUUAACUAGUAAGGAGAAUGAUAGCUAAGAAGUGUUUGUAUUUGAAGGUUUUGUGGAGAUGGGAGGUGGAGUGGGAUUUAUGUAUA
rnacentral:lncRNA from 1 species